ACGCAGGGGUGUCCGCUUAAGCGGGCUGAGAAUGGGCUGUUUCGUCCUUACCCUCUAACCUGAUUCGGAUAAUGCCGACGUAGGAAGCUCGUU
rnacentral:ncRNA from 1 species